UACGUAGGGGGCGAGCGUUUGUCCGGAGUUACUGGGCGUAAAGCGCACGCAGGCGGUCUGCUAAGUUUGGAGUGACAGUUGGUGGCUUAACUGCCAAAGUGCUUCGAAAACUGACAGACUUGAGGGCUUCAGAGGGACACGGAAUUCCGGGUGGAGUGGUGAAAUGCGUAGAGAUCCGGAGGAACACCAAAGGCGAAGGCAGUGUCCUGGGGAGUACCUGACGCUCAGGUGCGAAAGCCAGGGGAGCGAACGGG
rnacentral:rRNA from 1 species